rnacentral:rRNA from 1 species
UACGUAGGGGGCAAUCGUUGUCCGGAAUCAUUGGGCGUAAAGCGCGUGUAGGCGGCUCGGUAAGUCUGCUGUGAAAGUCCAGGGCUCAACCCUGGGAUGCCGGUGGAUACUGUCGAGCUCGAGUCCGGAAGAGGCGAGUGGAAUUCCUGGUGUAGCGGUGAAAUGCGCAGAUAUCAGGAGGAACACCAAUGGCGAAGGCAGCUCGCUGGGACGUGACUGACGCUGAGACGCGAAAGCGUGGGGAGCAAACAGG